rnacentral:rRNA from 1 species
UGUCGUCAGCUCGUGCUGUGAAGUGUUGGUUAAGUACCGCCAACGAGCGCAACCCUACUCAUCUGUUGCCAGCAUUUAAGGUGGGGACGUCAGAUGAGACUGCCGGUGACAAACCGGAGGAAGGUGGGGACGGACGUCAAGUCAUCAUGGCCCUUAUGUCCUGGGCUACACACGUGCUACAAUGGCCGGUACAGAGUGAAGCGAAACCGCGAGGUGAAGCAAAACGCAGAAAGCCGGUCUCAGUACGGAUUGGAGUCUGAAACUCGACUUCAUGAAGUUGGAAUCGCUAGUAAUCGCGCAUCAGCAUGGCGCGGUGAAUACGUUCCCGGGCCUU